GCGGGCGUGGUGGAAUGGUAGACACAAGGGACUUAAAAUCCCUCGACCAAGGUCAUGCGGGUUCGAGUCCCGCCGCCCGCACCA
rnacentral:tRNA from 1 species